rnacentral:rRNA from 1 species
GAUGAACGCUAGCGGCAGGCCUAAUACAUGCAAGUCGGACGGGAUUCAGGAGCUUGCUUCUGAUGAGAGUGGCGCACGGGUGCGUAACACGUAUGUAACCUACCUUUCUCAGGGGGAUAGCCUCUCGAAAGAGAGAUUAAGCCCGCAUAAAAUCACAGCACAGCCUUGUGUAAUGAUCAAAUAUUUAUAGGUUAAUGAUGGGCAUGCGGAACAUCAGCUAGAUGGCGGGGUAACGGCACAGCAUGGCGACGAUGUUUAGGGGAUCUGAGAGGAUGGCCCCCCAGAAUGGUACUACGGCACAGACCAGAAUGCUACGGGAGGCAGCAGUAAGUAAUAUUAGGCAAGGAAGGGAAGCCUAGACCAGCCGUGCCGGGUGCAGAAAGCCGGCGCUACGAGAUGUAAGCUGCUUUUAAACGAGAAUAAACCCAGAUACGAGGAUCUGGCUGAAUGUACUGUAAGAAUAAGGAUCGGCUAACUCCGUG